rnacentral:lncRNA from 1 species
ACCCGCGCCGGGCAGCCCCGCCGGCCGCCCUCACGCACGCGCUGUGCCCCGCGGGAGCUCCAGGCCGCCCCUCCUGCCGCCCAGCUUCGUGACUCCACGGCCCCACGCGCCCCUUGCUGCCUUCCGCUGGGGUUUCCGAGCCGCCCCCGAACCGCGCACCCGACUUGCAGGCGUCCGCCUGGGCCUCCCUAAGACACGCCGCAUACAGGACAGGCCCCUGGGCCUUCCGCGGCGAUGGCGCUGCGCUAAUGACGUCAUAGGCCCGGACUCGCGUGAGUGCGCGUGCGUUGGGGCCUCAGCCUUUAUCUCCACUCUGCGGAGAUUCACGCCUGGAAAACGCUCUUCUGAGAGGAUCUGUGGAGGUCAACCCAGGAGAGAGAAGACAGGACUGAAGCACUGAAAGGGUCCUGCCGUUAAGGGCGCAGGAUUGUAUAGAAUAUAUAAUAGCAGUAGCAGCUCUGUUUACGGAGCAUUAACCUUACGUGGAGUUAUUUCCUGCAUUUCCUCCUUUCGUCUUUACAAGAGAUUGGGUCUCUCCACAUUGCCCCGGCUGCUCUCCAACCCCUGAGUUCAAGUGAUUCACCUCCCUUGGCCUCCCAAAGUACUGGGAUUACAGGCGUGAGCCACCGUGCCUGGCUGAGAAGAUGGAUUUAAGACAUAUUUUGGAGCGGAAAGUGACCAGAAGAGGUGUGCAGUUUCCAGGCCUGGCCCAUACAGACCUCCAACAGGUGCUCCCCUGUGCUGUUACUCCUUCUGCCAACUGGAAGCAGAUGGUGACCAGGCUCUGGAGAAGGCAAGGCCUGAAGAUGGGAGAUUCCUAAGUGGAGGAGAACUGUGCCUUACUGACCUAAAUAUCCACUCAGUAUUGUUAUGUGAGAAUAAAUAAACUUGUGUUGAC